rnacentral:misc_RNA from 1 species
AAAAAAAAAAAAAGUAUCAUCGGGGAAGGUCGGGGCUGUACUUGGUUCUGCUGUUCUACAUUCUUAAUUUCAUUUGGUUCAGGUCUCUCUCUCUCUGUGUUUUUCUUUGAUACACAAUUUCAGCUCUCUCUCCCUCCAUUCCUUUCCCUAAAUUAUCUAUUCAACACCUGAGAUUAACAGCUCUAUCAUAGAUUGAUGGUUAAUCUGUAUCUUAAGCAAUAGCUAUCAAGAAUAAUACAAGGCCAGCAGCUCCAAAAUCUCUUAUUUCACGAGAUUAGUCCAAUAUAGAUCUGGGUGUCCUGUCAACUCCUUUGCCCUCUUUCUCCAUUCAGGAAGAACAAAGCUAGAGAUGGAGAUGAUAAAU